UGCAAGUCGAGCGGACAGAUGGGAGCUUGCUCCCUGAUGUUAGCGGCGGACGGGUGAGUAACACGUGGGUAACCUGCCUGUAAGACUGGGAUAACUCCGGGAAACCGGGGCUAAUACCGGAUGGUUGUUUGAACCGCAUGGUUCAAACAUAAAAGGUGGCUUCGGCUACCACUUACAGAUGGACCCGCGGCGCAUUAGCUAGUUGGUGAGGUAAUGGCUCACCAAGGCAACGAUGCGUAGCCGACCUGAGAGGGUGAUCGGCCACACUGGGACUGAGACACGGCCCAGACUCCUACGGGAGGCAGCAGUAGGGAAUCUUCCGCAAUGGACGAAAGUCUGACGGAGCAACGCCGCGUGAGUGAUGAAGGUUUUCGGAUCGUAAAGCUCUGUUGUUAGGGAAGAACAAGUACCGUUCGAAUAGGGCGGUACCUUGACGGUACCUAACCAGAAAGCCACGGCUAACUACGUGCCAGCAGCCGCGGUAAUACGUAGGUGGCAAGCGUUGUCCGGAAUUAUUGGGCGUAAAGGGCUCGCAGGCGGUUUCUUAAGUCUGAUGUGAAAGCCCCCGGCUCAACCGGGGAGGGUCAUUGGAAACUGGGGAACUUGAGUGCAGAAGAGGAGAGUGGAAUUCCACGUGUAGCGGUGAAAUGCGUAGAGAUGUGGAGGAACACCAGUGGCGAAGGCGACUCUCUGGUCUGUAACUGACGCUGAGGAGCGAAAGCGUGGGGAGCGAACAGGAUUAGAUACCCUGGUAGUCCACGCCGUAAACGAUGAGUGCUAAGUGUUAGGGGGUUUCCGCCCCUUAGUGCUGCAGCUAACGCAUUAAGCACUCCGCC
rnacentral:rRNA from 1 species